CUGUAAUGGGAAAGUUGAUGACCAAGUGAUAAUUCAGGUUUGCUAAUUCAUUACCUGAGCGAAUGGUGUUACCGGUGUAGAAGGAGUUUGCUUAGGCGAACCUUCAAAAACUUCCUUGCCACUGGUUUCCUUCUGAGUCUCAUUUGCAGCGCAAUCUGUUUUAGGUGAUGCUUCAUGCGUCUCAGGGAUUCCAUGCUUUACAAAUGUGUUUCCAAAUGCAAAACCAUGCGUCUCAGUUAGGCAUAUAAAACUCUGGAAUUGGAAAUUGAAUGUUGAUAGGUUCAAUUCUUGUUUGCAUAAAACUUUACCUCAGCAAUUGGUGUUACCGGUGUAGAAGGUGUUUGCUGAGCCUCUCUUCCAGAUAUUUCCUCCUCAACGGGUUCUUUCUCAGGCUCUCCUGCAGUGGGGUCUGGAAUAGUAGAGUCCGGGGUGUCUGAUCUUAUUUCCUGUAAUUUCCAAAAUCAAACAUAUGAGGGUCAGCACUGAUCAACAUUUGAGGAAUCUGUUUGUAUUAAACUAAUACCUUAGCAAUAGUUUUUGCAGCCCCAUAAAGAUCCCAUGUUCUUUCAGAGGACUCAAAAUUCAUAGUUGGUCCACCUUCUUUACCAAUGGGAAUUUCUCUAGAUAAACCUUGCUUAGAACCAGAGGAUGAGCUUCCAGAAGAUAAAGAAGUAACCUCUUCUCUUUUUCUUUUCCUGGAUGCAGGCUCCUCCUUCUUCUUCGUCCUCUUACUUUUUGAUGUCUCUGUAUGAGGCUGCCUUGGUUUAGGCAGCUGACUCUGAUUCCCUAAAUUCUUCAAAAGAUCUUCACCUAUGUUGGAACGGAGCUCUUCAAGCUGUUGAGAGAUCCAAGACUUCAAGUCAGACAAUUCAGCAUGCGUAACAAACUGAGUAGAGGAGCUUCCUGCACCAGGCUUCGCUGCAUCACCAUGAGUCUGUACUUUUUUGCCUGUCUUCUUAGGGCCAGACUGUACUACAGGUAUUGCUGCAGCCGAGGUUUGGGGUUGAUCCUUACUUUUAUGUGAAGUAGCUUUCUUGCGAGGAGGCUGGGGAUCAACAAGAUCUUCUUCAAGCCUGGCUGACCGUGUGAAUGGCUUCCGACGGAGAGGGUAGUUCUCUUUUUUCGCCUUCUUCGCAGCUGUCCUUGGUUCACAUGUCUCAUCGUCCUCUGGCCCAUCAGAUUCCAGGCCAACAAACUGUUUACCUUCAGUAUUAA
rnacentral:lncRNA from 1 species